UGGGGAAUCUUGGACAAUGGGGGCAACCCUGAUCCAGCCAUGCCGCGUGAGUGAUGAAGGCCUUAGGGUCGUAAAGCUCUUUCGCCUGUGAAGAUAAUGACGGUAGCAGGUAAAGAAACCCCGGCUAACUCCGUGCCAGCAGCCGCGGUAAUACGGAGGGGGUUAGCGUUGUUCGGAAUUACUGGGCGUAAAGCGCACGUAGGCGGACCAGAAAGUUGGGGGUGAAAUCCCGGGGGCUCAACCCCGGAACUGCCUCCAAAACUAUUGGUCUAGAGUUCGAGAGAGGUGAGUGGAAUUCCAAGUGUAGAGGUGAAAUUCGUAGAUAUUUGGAGGAACACCAGUGGCGAAGGCGGCUCACUGGCUCGAUACUGACGCUGAGGUGCGAAAGUGUGGGGAGCAAACAGGAUUAGAUACCCUGGUAGUCCACACCGUAAAACGAUGAAUGCCAGUCGUCGGGUAGCAUGCUAUUCGGUGACACACCUAACGGAUUAAGCAUUCCGCCUGGGGAGUACGGUCGCAAGAUUAAAACUCAAAGGAAUUG
rnacentral:rRNA from 1 species